GCAUUUGACCGCUCCUCCCUCCGCGUUGGAGGCGGAAUAGUGGGUUUUGCUGCAACCGGUUUAUUUUCCUUCUGUUUUCACCCAUUCGGGCACAAUCUGGCGCCAUCGUCCUUCUUGUGAGGCCAAGCCUGAAAAUGCGAAGCAGAGAGGCAGGACCAAAAUUGAGGCGAAUCCGGGAACCUGCCAAUGGGUCUCCGGGUGCGGUCUCUGAAACUGGAGGAUAUCGGGAGGAAAGGCUCUCCGAUGCGGAGAUAAUGGGGAAGCUCUUGGCAUGGUUGGCUGUAGGUAUGUGAUACCGGAGGAGCAGGAGUCAAAUAGGAUACGCCGACUUUUAAUUCAAGGAACCCUUUUCUGAAACACUUUGCCACAAUGAAGGAAAUAAGGUAAGGUUCUUGGGGCUCCUCAGUAGUAAUAGGGGCAGGGGACAAGGGGCAAUUAAGUGGUUUUGGUUGGGAAUGAGGCAUUAUGAAUAGCUUUCAGGAGAUAGAGCUUAGAACAAUGUCUUAGUUAUAAGUUCUUAUGUUUGAGGAAGAGAUUUCAAUUUGCUUAAAGAAGGAAACGGGCCAGUGGGUUUUUGUCUCUGAGAAGGAGAUCCUUAGCAUACAGAAAACAGAGAAGGGUUUGCAACUUUUCCGUU
rnacentral:antisense_RNA from 1 species